UAUUUUAGGUUAUACAGACGACUUAUCGUCUCCAUAGGGUUCACAUCAGAGAAUCCGUCUCCCUUUGGUGGUCUCCGAUCUUCUUCUCUGUUCCUCUCUCAGGAGGCUAUUUAGGCUAUUUGCUCACAUCAUUUGUCAACACUUGAAUCAUCUCCAUUUCUCGUUCGUUCAAGGUGUUUAGAGCUUAAGAAAAUCUCCAUUCUUCUUUACAGGUUCGUUCAAGCUCAUGCGCAUCUCUAAUUUUUCUAUGUUUUUUGUUCCUUCUUCUUGUGAUAUUCUAUGGUUUCAUAGUUGCUCUCACAUGAGGCGAUUUGCUCAAAUCGAUAAGCAAAUCUCCAUCUCUGUUUCUCGUUUACCAGCAUAGCUUCUGCGAUUAAAAGGAAAUUUGAUUUCUAAUUACUGACAACCUCAUUUUGCUAUUGAGGACGAAUAUCGAGAUAUUGAGCAACAUCUAGGUCCAGAAUAGAGUUGGCAUCUGUUUGAGCAACAUCUGCGAUUAAUCAGCUUUAGGAUCCUACUGGUGCAGUUUCUGGUACUAUUGAUCACAAAGUGCUAACCAAGGGUGAAUUUGGAAAUGGUAUUUUUGAUGCUCCAUAAGGUUUCUGUGUUAUGCAUAUGAUGAUUUUUAAUGCACAUCUGCACACCCCUCCUGUCAUUAUCAUAUAUGCAAAACUUCUCUUGGAUGUUUUUCAAGAUGAGGGGAUUAAUUUGAUAGGUAUGAGAGAAGAUGAUGAUAUAAUCAACAGUUCCAGUAGUGCCUACGAGACACUUUUAUGUUUGGUCUUGGUGGGUCCUUUACAAAGACAUGGGUUUUCCAGAUCAUAAUUCAUCAAUAUACAAAAUUCAAAAGUCUUUUUUGGGACACCUGAAGAACAAGAAGCACUUGCUAAGUUGCUGAGGCUGAAUCAAUGACUGGGUUGGGAAACCCAAUAUAGCUGGAGAGGAGUUGCUAAGUAAAGGAGUCCGAGCAAAAUAGGUGAUCAUUAAAAUGGGAUAAAAGUGGACAAAAGCUUGGAUUUUUUUUGUCCUUUUCAUUCAAGAGUCAGAAAAAUGCUCAAAAUAAAAACUAUAAAAACUUAUCAUCAAAAAAAGGUAGUAGAAGAGUGCCCGCAUACAGGGACAAUGAUUGAUUGCCCACUGCAUCAAAAAGUUAUAGUGGAGAUACCUGAUGAAAAAAACAAGAAGAAGAACCUACCACUUUUGAGAAGAGGAAGAAAUAUAAACCUCCUCCUAGAGAAGAGAUCUGAAAAUCCAGGGAAGAGAAGAGAGAAGCUCUAAGAGAAGCAAGAAAAGUUAUAAGUACCAACAAAAUGUCAGCUCAUGUAUGGGCAAACCUAUAGAGGCGACAUGUCGUCUCUACAAGUACAUCAACCACGACGGCCUGGUGUUGCUAUAGGAUGACGGCUGUUGAUUGCAUCUCUAUCUAUAGAGACCACCUUUUGUCUCUAUAGCUGUAUCUAUGGACACGACAAGUUGUCUCUAUGGUGGUAUCUAUGGAGAUAACAUGUUGUUUUUAAGAUGAAGCUAUAGAGAUGAUUUGUCCUCUCUAUAGAUAUAGUUAUAGAGACCAGCAACUUGUAGCGACGAACCAAAAUUGGAUGACAUGUCGUCUUUAAAGACAACCUAUUGCGACGAUAGUUUUAGUGACGACCAAAAGGAUCUGUAGCAACGGGGCUAUGGAGACGAAAGCUAUAGGGACGACUUGUCGUCCCAAACAUCUAUAGAGACGACUUUUGAACCUAUAGAGACAACAAUGUUCGUCCCUAUAGGUCCCUAUAUGAGAAGCCUGGGCUUGGCCUAUUUUUUAUAAGCUACACACGCAAAAGCAGAGUUGUCAGCAGCACGAAACAGCAAAACAAGGAGUCGAUCGACAUGUGCAUUUAUGGUUUGCCAUUUCUGUAAAUUUAAGAUCAGAAUCGAAAUAAUCACAUUGUGUUUACUUGUUCAAAGCAACAAAUGUAUUAUAUUGAAUAUCAAACUCGACAAAAUCAUGACAUGCAACAAAACAAAGCGAACAGGAUCAAUGAAAACUUCAACAAGUCGCAUAUUUGUACUCCAAAUUAUUGUUUUAAAA